rnacentral:lncRNA from 1 species
CCUUGAUAAAAUCCAAGAGCUAAAACUUGAGCUCUGUACCAUCAUUAUCCCAAUUUGAUCGGAAAACCCAGAUCAAUGGACCAACUAAUCUUAAGCCGAUUCGGUGGUCCUUGAUCAUUAGCUCACCUACUAUGAUUAAAGCAGCGGCCGGUACCACAUUUCUCUGCAAAAAGACCAAGCGCAUCCAAUGGCCGAUGGACCAUACCUGUUUUUUUAGGCAGGAGAUUGGACCAUUGUCUGAUAUUAAACUGUGGUACCAAACUACCAAUAGCAAGUAGAAGAAAACAUGUGAAGUGACUCAAAAUGUAAUGCAUUAUUAACAUCCCGGCCUCAGAUAGAAAAUUCCAAUCACAUAGCCCAAUCUUACAAACCACCAAGAACAAGAAUAAUGUAAAGAACAAUUAAACUAGUCGGAGAGCAAAGAAAUUUAAAGCAUGAAGAGGAAGAAUGAAAGAAAAGAAAAGGGGGAAAAAAAAAGAAGAGAAAAACAUGCACAUGCUGAUAUGCUAGCAUCCACGUUCAUCGUGUCCGUACGACGUCUUACAAGAGGAAGCUAACAACGGCGGCCAGUCCGGCGACGCCCCACCCGACGGCCCUCGCGCUGGCGGCGUCCGUGGGCUGGGCGUCCUCCGACCCGGCCGGCCCGGCGGCGGCAUCCGUGGCGCCGCCC